GAAGGGACACGUGAGCAUGCGGGAAUCAGGAUUGGGGGAGGAAUACCAACGCUAAAAUAUACGCGGUGGUAGGCUGUUUUUUAGCGUUGCUAAAAAAUUGGGGAAGGUUUGGGUGGACUGUUGGAGUUCGUUUUUUCUUCUUUUUUCCCUAAAACAAAUAUUGAGGGUAAGAUUAGCAGUCUCUUGGAGUUGCUCUUAGCGCACGCCCGCUAGGAGGGAAACUAGCCAUCGAAUUCAGACAAUGACUAGACAAAUUGGCGCGGCCUUGCCGUGCCCAGUGGAGUGGGCCAGUAUUUUUCUCAUUAUAAUAAAUAAAAUAAUAAUACCUUUGUAGAGAUAUAUAAGUCAAGAAUCACAUAAAAACAUAUGAAAAGCAAGGAAGUUGAAAGGUCAUUUGUUUUAUUUCAUUCAUUUGUUUUCAGGUUAUAGGAUAAUCCAAUCUUACUGUUACUAAUUGGAGGCUCCUUUUGAAAUCUCCAGAUGAAGCCACCUAGGAUUCCUAGGUGGACAUUCUAGAAAAAGAGAGAAAUCCUAAAAAUUCUCACAAAAAAGUAAAACAUCUAACCAUCAAUCGAUAGAUUCAAAUCAUCAUAGCCAUUGGAUAUAUUAUGUUUUCUAAAAAAUUACCCACCUAUGCCAUUAUGAAAAUAGCCUAAAGUAACCCCCUAAAUCUAUAUAUAAAUUACCCACCUUUGCCAUUAUACACUCUAGAAAAAGAGAGAAAUCCUAGAAAUUCUCACAAAAAAGCAAAACAUCCGACCAUCAAUCAAUAGAUUCAAAUCAUCAUAGCCAUUGGAUCUAUUAUGUUUUCUAAAAAAUUACCCACCGAUGCCAUUAUAAAAAUAGCCUAAAGUAACCCCCUAAAUCUAUAUAUAAAUUACCCACCUCUACCAUUAUAUAAAAUAAACUAAAGUAACCCCCUAAUCUUCAUCCAAAUUACCCACUUAUGCCAUUAUAAACAAUAUUUAAAAUAACCCCCUAAUUUGCAACUGAAUUGCCUACCACUAUUACUUAAAAAACUUUAAGUAACCCCUUAAAUUUGCAUCUAUAUCACACAUGCCAUUAUUAAAAAUAACAUGAGGUAACUCUACGUUUGAAUCAAAUAACCUUAAUUAAAAAUAUACAGCAAUAUAUGAUUCUAAAUCGUCUAUAUCUUGUACUAUUGGUAUACGAUAUAAUAAUUAAG
rnacentral:lncRNA from 1 species